CUCUCUUCCCUUUCCUGAUUUCUCUGUCUUUCAUCAGGGACAGACUAUUGACUGACGUCUACUACAAACCUACCAACUCCCAAGGUUAUCUGGACUACACUUCGUCCCACCCCAUCACUUACAAAAACGCUAUCCUCAAUUCCUCCGACUCAGCCGCAUCUGCUCCCAAGAUCAUGAUUUCCUUUCUAGGACAUCGAUGAUGUCCUCUUUCUUUAGUAAAUAGUGAGGCCACAUGCAAACUAGAGGAAAGAUAAGGUUCACUUCUUAAUAAAAGGAGGGUCAAUAGCCACAUUGUACUUUCUUGUUCUCUGAACUGUUUACAGUCAAUCAGAUUUAUCCGACGGGGGUGAUCUUCAAUCUUCACGGCGGUUGAUGUUGUUGGUAGCACUUGGUACAGUUCCUUUCAACACAGUCUCAAUUUCUUCCGGUCCCAGUACCUUAUCAUGCAGCCUUCG